rnacentral:other from 1 species
UUGGACCUGCUGUAUUCGUGAUAGAACUAUAUGUGCCGAGCCAACAUUAUUUUGACGGGAGUCUAUCUUUGGUAGCUAAUGUAAUAGGCCCGAGCCAAAACAGAGGUUAUCGAGCGAAUCCCAACCUGUAAUUUUGCAGGUUCGCGACACUAUGGCUACACGGUACAGUGGGCCCCGA